rnacentral:rRNA from 1 species
GCAAGUCGAGCGGAUUGAUGGGAGCUUGCUCCCAUCAGUCAGCGGCGGACGGGUGAGUAACACGUGGGUAACCUGCCUGUAAGACUGGGAUAACUCCGGGAAACCGGGGCUAAUACCGGAUAACUCAUUUCCUCGCAUGAGGAAAUGUUGAAAGGUGGCUUUUAGCUAUCACUUACAGAUGGACCCGCGGCGCAUUAGCUAGUUGGUGAGGUAACGGCUCACCAAGGCGACGAUGCGUAGCCGACCUGAGAGGGUGAUCGGCCACACUGGGACUGAGACACGGCCCAGACUCCUACGGGAGGCAGCAGUAGGGAAUCUUCCGCAAUGGACGAAAGUCUGACGGAGCAACGCCGCGUGAGUGAUGAAGGUUUUCGGAUCGUAAAACUCUGUUGUUAGGGAAGAACAAGUACCGUUCGAAUAGGGCGGUACCUUGACGGUACCUAACCAGAAAGCCACGGCUAACUACGUGCCAGCAGCCGCGGUAAUACGUAGGUGGCAAGCGUUGUCCGGAAUUAUUGGGCGUAAAGCGCGCGCAGGUGGUUUCUUAAGUCUGAUGUGAAAGCCCACGGCUCAACCGUGGAGGGUCAUUGGAAACUGGGGAACUUGAGUGCAGAAGAGGAAAGUGGAAUUCCAAGUGUAGCGGUGAAAUGCGUAGAUAUUUGGAGGAACACCAGUGGCGAAGGCGACUUUCUGGUCUGUAACUGACACUGAGGCGCGAAAGCG